rnacentral:lncRNA from 1 species
GCAUCAUCUUUUUUUAUUUUUCUCUUCAGGAGGCGCAGAGAGAAGCUCCAGGCACACCUUAAGGAAAGUCGCACUUUGAAAAACUACACUGCUAAUUCCCUCAAUGCCCUGGAUGCCAAGAUGAGGGCCCCGAACACGAACCUGCAAAUGCAUGAGUACUGCAAACGGUCCUCCCAGUCUCGCCAGGGAAACGUUUGUGCGUCCAGCUUUGCACACUGCAACAUCUCCACUACGCCGUCCACCAGCUCCAGAGGCACAGCGAAGCAUCACAGAAGUGCUUCCUUGUCUCACAGCCCGGAUCAGAGAACCCGGGCAGCCCACUGGUCAGCUCCACGCAGGACCCCACCCAUACCCAGGGGAAGGCUAAAUCCGAUUGGAGGAUCCAAGUAUUCAGGCCACGCCUACCAACACCUUCAGGAAGUGGAC